CGCGUAGGCGGUUUGUACAGUCAGAAGUGAAAUUCCUGGGCUCAACCUGGGGACUGCUUUUGAUACGUGCAGACUUGAGUGAGGAAGAGGGUUGUGGAAUUUCCAGUGUAGAGGUGAAAUUCGUAGAUAUUGGAAAGAACACCGGUGGCGAAGGCGGCAACCUGGUCCUUUACUGACGCUGAGGCGCGAAAGCGUGGGGAGCAAACAGGAUUAGAUACCCUGGUAGUCCACGCUGUAAACGAUGUGUGCUGGAUGUUGGGGAACUUAGUUUUUCAGUGUCGUAGCUAACGCGAUAAGCACACCGCCUGGGGAGUACGGCCGCAAGGUUGAA
rnacentral:rRNA from 1 species